rnacentral:rRNA from 1 species
CAAUAGCGUAUAUUAAAGUUGUUGCAGUUAAAAAGCUCGUAAUUGGAUUUCUGGUGGGAGCGAUCGGUCUGGCGCUUAGCGCGAGUACUUGCAUCGUCUCCGGCCAUCCUUGGGGAGAGUCUGUCUGGCAUUAAGUUGUCGGGCAGAGGAUCCUCAUCGUUUACUGUGAAAAAAUUAGAGUGUUCAAAGCAGGCUUAUGCCGUUGAAUAUAUUAGCAUGGAAUAAUAAGAUAGGACUUUGGUACUAUUUUGUUGGUUUGCGCACCAAAGUAAUGAUUAAUAGGGACAGUUGGGGGUAUUCGUAUUCCGUUGUCAGAGGUGAAAUUCUUGGAUUUACGGAAGACGAACUACUGCGAAAGCAUUUACCAAGGAUGUUUUCAUUAA